rnacentral:rRNA from 1 species
GAUGAACGCUGGCGGCGUGCCUAAUACAUGCGAGUCGAGCGAACGGACGAGAAGCUUGCUUCUCUGAUGUUAGCGGCGGACGGGUGAGUAACACGUGGAUAACCUACCUAUAAGACUGGGAUAACUUUGGGAAACCGGAGCUAAUACCGGAUAAUAUUUUGAACCGCAUGGUUCAAAAGUGAAAGACGGUCUUGCUGUCACUUAUAGAUGGAUCCGCGCUGCAUUAGCUAGUUGGUAAGGUAACGGCUUACCAAGGCAACGAUGCAUAGCCGACCUGAGAGGGUGAUCGGCCACACAGGAACUGAGACACGGUCCAGACUCCUACGGGAGGCAGCAGUAGGGAAUCUUCCGCAAUGGGCGAAAGCCUGACGGAGCAACGCCGCGUGAGUGAUGAAGGUCUUCGGAUCGUAAAACUCUGUUAUUAGGGAAGAACAUAUGUGUAAGUAACUGUGCACAUCUUGACGGUACCUAAUCAGAAAGCCACGGCUAACUACGU